AUGGAUAACCGUGGUAAUUCUAGAGCUAAUACAUGCUGGUUAGCCUGACUUUUGCGGAAGGGCUGUAUUUAUUAGAUAACAAACCAAUAUUCCCCGUGUCUAUUGUGAUGACUCAUAAUAACUGAUCGAAUCGCAUGGGCUUUGCCCGCGAUACAUCAUUCAAGUUUCUGCCCCAUCAGCUUUCGAUGGUAGUGUAUUGGACUACCAUGGCGUUCACGGGUAACGGAGGAUUAGGGUUCGAUUCCGGAGAGGGAGCCUGAGAAACGGCUACCACAUCUAAGGAAGGCAGCAGGCGCGUAAAUUACCCAAUCCUGACUCAGGGAGGUAGUGACAAGAAAUAACGGACCGAAGCCUACGUUUCGGGAUUGCAAUGAGUAGAAUUUAAACCCCUUUACGAGGAUCAAUUGGAGGGCAAGUCUGGUGCCAGCAGCCGCGGUAAUUCCAGCUCCAGUAGCGUAUAUUAAAGUUGUUGCAGUUAAAAAGCUCGUAGUUGGAUUUCUGGGAGGGUGCCAAUGUCCGCUGAUUGCGUGUGCAGCGGCGCCCUUCCAUCCUUCUGUUAACGUUUCUGAUAUUCAUUUAUUGGUCUCGGGCUCAGAUAUUUUACCUUGAGAAAAUUAGAGUGUUCCAGGCAGGCUAGCGCCGGAAUACAUUAGCAUGGAAUAAUAGAAUAGGACUUUAGUCUCCUUUGUUGGUUUGAGGGACUGAAGUAAUGAUUAAUAGGGAUAGUUGGGGGCAUUAGUAUUUAAUUGUCAGAGGUGAAAUUCUCGGAUUUGUUAAAGACUAACUUAUGCGAAAGCAUUUGCUAAGGAUGUUU
rnacentral:rRNA from 1 species